UACGGAGGGUGCAAGCGUUAUCCGGAUUCACUGGGUUUAAAGGGUGCGUAGGUGGGUCGGUAAGUCAGUGGUGAAAUCUCCGAGCUUAACUUGGAAACUGCCAUUGAUACUAUCGAUCUUGAAUACUGUGGAGGUUAGCGGAAUAUGUCAUGUAGCGGUGAAAUGCUUAGAUAUGACAUAGAACACCAAUUGCGAAGGCAGCUGGCUACACAAAUAUUGACACUGAGGCACGAAAGCGUGGGGAUCAAACAGG
rnacentral:rRNA from 1 species